UACGUAGGGUGCAAGCGUUUAAUCGGAAUUACUGGGCGUAAAGCGUGCGCAGGCGGUUGUGCAAGACAGAUGUGAAAUCCCCGGGCUCAGCCUGGGAAUUGCAUUUGUGACUGCACGGCUAGAGUGUGUCAGAGGGGGGUAGAAUUCCACGUGUAGCAGUGAAAUGCGUAGAGAUCGGGAGGAAUACCUGUGGCGAAGGCGGCCUACUGGGCCGGACCUGACGCUGAGACGCGAAGGCGUCGGGGAGGCGAACGGGGAUAGAACCCCUG
rnacentral:rRNA from 1 species